AGAGUUUGAUCCUGGCUCAGGAUGAACGCUGGCGGCGUGCCUAAUACAUGCAAGUCGAGCGAGGGUACUUGUACCCUAGCGGCGAACGGGUGAGUAACACGUAGGUAAUCUACCCUUAAGACGAGGAUACCGUUUGGAAACGAACGUUAAAACUGGAUAGGAUAGUAAGACAAAAGUUUAACUAUUUAAAAGAGCAAUCUACUUAAGGAGGAGCCUGCGGCGCAUUAGCUAGUUGGUGAGGUAAUGGCCCACCAAGGCGAUGAUGCGUAGCCGGUCUGAGAGGACGAACGGCCACAUUGGGACUGAGACACGGCCCAGACUCCUACGGGAGGCAGCAGUAGGGAAUUUUCGGCAAUGGACGGAAGUCUGACCGAGCAACGCCGCGUGAAUGAUGAAGUAUUUCGGUAUGUAAAGUUCUUUUAUUUGGGAAGAAAAAACAAAUUGACGGUACCAAAUGAAUAAGCCCCGGCUAACUACGUGCCAGCAGCCGCGGUAAUACGUAGGGGGCAAGCGUUAUCCGGAAUUAUUGGGCGUAAAGGGUGCGUAGGCGGGUUAUCAAGUCUUUGGUUAAAAUGCGGUGCUCAACGCCGUAGUGCCAAAGAAACUGAUAGUCUAGAGUAUGGUAGAAGUGAGUGGAACUCCAUGUGUAGCGGUAAAAUGCGUAAAUAUAUGGAAGAACACCAGUGGCGAAGGCGGCUCACUAGGCCAAUACUGACGCUGAGACACGAAAGCGUGGGGAGCAAACAGGAUUAGAUACCCUGGUAGUCCACGCCCUAAACGAUGAGUACUAAGUGUAGCCAGAAGGCUGUGCUGAAGUUAACGCAUUAAGUACUCCGCCUGAGUAGUACGUACGCAAGUAUGAAACUUAAAGGAAUUGACGGGAUCCCGCACAAGCGGUGGAGCAUGUUGUUUAAUUCGACGAUACGCGAAGAACCUUACCAGGUCUUGACAUACUCGGCAAAUCUAUAGAGAUAUAGAGGAGGUUAACCGGGAUACAGGUGGUGCAUGGUUGUCGUCAGCUCGUGUCGUGAGAUGUUAGGUUAAGUCCUGCAACGAGCGCAACCCUUAUUGCUAGUUACCAUCAUUAAGUUGGGGACUCUAGCGAGACUGCCGGUGAUAAACCGGAGGAAGGCGGGGAUGACGUCAAAUCAUCAUGCCCUUUAUGACCUGGGCUACAAACGUGCUACAAUGGCUGACACAAAGAGAAGCGAGCUCGCGAGAGUAAGCAAACCUCAGAAAAGCAGUCUCAGUUCGGAUUGAAGUCUGCAACUCGACUUCAUGAAGUUGGAAUCGCUAGUAAUCGCGAAGCAGAGUGUCGCGGUGAAUACGUUCCCGGGAUUUGUACACACCGCCCGUCAAACCAUGAGAGUUUGUAAUACCCGAAGCCGGUGGCCGAACCGCAAGGAAGGAGCCGUCUAAGGUAGGACAGAUGAUUGGGGUUAAGUCGUAACAAGGUAUCCCUACGAGAACGUGGGGAUG
rnacentral:rRNA from 2 species